UCGGCAACGGAUAUCUCGGCUCUUACAUCGAUGAAGAACGUAGCAAAAUGCGAUACUUGGUGUGAAUUGCAGAAUCCCGUGAACCAUCGAGUCUUUGA
rnacentral:rRNA from 2 species